AUCAGUCUUCAAUUACAAGUGCAUUGUGGCGUCACAUCGACAAUGUCUAUUAAUAGAUAACAAAAUUAAAGAUAAAGAUUAAAGUUUGUGUUCAUUUUAAUUUACAUAUUUUACGCCAUAAAGCGUAACAGUUCUUCAAAGUUAACACAUUGCAUGCGUUGUUUUUUUCAAAUAGUAUGUAAUGUAGGUAUGUAUACCUAGCAGCACCUCUGUUCGGAGUGACUCUGUUUAUGUAAAUUCUGAUUUAUUUUGUUCAUCAUUCGUGAAGUGUGCCUAUAAUUUAUUUUCAUCAUGAGAAAAACAGUAAUCUAUUUAUUUGUACUCGUAAUACUUUCAUGCACUUUUUUCACCGCGUGUCACGCCAAAAAACGAAAUAGAGUUACUAUAUCUGACAGAAUCAGUUCACGUUUAUGUAAUAUUGUUUUGAGAUACGCUGAUGAAUUUCGGAAUUUUUCUCAGUUACAAAAUAGUAUGGAAGCAGUUUACGAAUCUCGUUUCAAUUACAGUGGUACCGCCAGAGAAAAUAUCUUGCGAUCAUACUGGUUAAGCACGGAUGUUCAUAACACAUACAGAGACUGUAUUAACACUAUCGACUGGGGCUGUCAAUUUGUCAUUGAGAACAUACCAGCCAAUGACGGUAUAGUAGAUAAUAUGCUACCGAAGGAGAGAGAUACAUUGUUGACUGAGAUUAGCGUGGCAACAAGUUCUCUUCAAUAUUAUGCUACUAAAUCCUUAGAAUCAUUCAAAUUAAUACCACCCAAACUGAUCGAGUUAAAAAACUCAUUGGAUGCUAUAUCAAAUGAUCUGCAUAAUGAUUGUGGUCCAGGUGGCUUUUACGGACCGCAGAAGCAAGAAAUAUUAGAACUAAAUACAGCUAGAGAAAUUGUUGCUAAUUUCAAUGGAGACUUGAAUUAUGAUGAAAAUACCAUGGAGCAGUUCACAGAAGAUCAAUAUUUUUCAAAGAUGCAAGACUUGUUGCACAAUUGUAAUGAACUUCGCAAAUGGCAUGCAUCCAACAUCACCCCGAAGAACUCGGAAGAUAUAGUUGUAAAUACAUAUUUACCCUAAACUCUUAAGUAGAUAAUUGUAUUCAAGUUCAUUUUUUAAAAAUAAAGAUAUGACUGUUUCUAUUA